CGAAAUCAGUUGCCAAUUAGUCUUCAGCACCGACGGAUUACAAUUGUGGUUCGCCUUCGCCUCCGCCUCCGCCUUCGCCUUCGCUUUCCGCUUCGGCUUCGGGGGGCCCACCGAGAGAAGACCGACCUGAUGCUAAGUGCUUUUCAAAAUAACAAGCGUUUCAUUGAUAAAAGCUGUCUUGCGGCCAGGUGUCCGAGACAAAAAUAUUGUUGGCCAAACGCGAAUAAUUUGUGCCCUGUGAGAAUGUUUCUGUGAAUCGUCGCGCCUCUCGCUUCGUCUCGUAUCGCAUCUGUUGGUAAAUUGGCAAGAUGUCGGCAUAGCUGAAGUUGAAAAGCGAUCUUUGAGAGCGCUAUGCUGCAUCUAGUCAGUUAUUCAAUAGAACAGUCAACAGAUCGAGGUGGCGGCACACUCAAAUCAUGAACGGAUAAUUCAUUAAAUAAAGAUUUCUAUGUAUAUUGGCUGAUUGCAUUGGAUAAUUUUGGUUUUCUUGCAGACAUUUUGAAUACCCCGAGGACUCGCGGAUAGAGGACCACUAAAAAAGCAACGGAAACUGAGAGAAUUAAUUUGUACUCUUUGACGGUUCAAGUUCUCCCAAAUAUGAUUUAAUAUAUCUUUCUAUCGGAUACGUUGAAUGCUGGAUAUAUUUAUGCUUAAUAUGAUAUCAAAUAAUAAAUAUUAUACCUCUUUUCUAAGUGUACCUAUCCAUUUUUUGUUAGUUUGUUUUAAAAAAGUCGAUUUAUAUAAAAUCAUUUCAAAGCCUUGCCGCCAAUUAGAUUUUACACCGAUAUCCAGGGCUGCCAUAAAUUACAAACAGCUCUUGCGAUAUAUUACUGAUUCUAUCGAUGUGUGCUCGGUCACACUGAUUUUAACUUUUUACUGACCCUGUUUAGCU
rnacentral:lncRNA from 1 species